GGGAGGAAUGACCUCCCCUAUGUGACCUCACAGGUGGCCAACAUUAGCGAGAAAUAUGAAACGAUGGACGUGAGAGACUACAGGGAGCACAGGUGAAACACGGCAGGUUCACAGAAACGUGUGACGUCGAAAGAGACCGAGUUCCCACAAGUUCACUAUUUGUCCUGUCCACGUGGAACUGAAGUGCUAGUAAGCAGCAAAAUGGCCACAAAGCAGCUAGUCUAAUGGAAAAGGAAAGGUAAUUCACAUCGAUUACCUACUACGGGACCUCAGAAUGUGACUGUAUUUGAAGAUAGAGCCUUCAAAGAGGUAACCGAGUGAAAAUAAGGUCAUUAGGAUGGGUCCUAAUCCACGAUGACUGGUGUCCUUAUAAGAAGAAGAGAUUAAGACACAGAGAGGGAAGACCAUGUGAGGACACAGAGGGAAGAUGGCCAUCCACGAGGCAGGAGAGAAGCCUCGGAAGAAACCAGUGCUGCCCACACCUUGAGCUUGAACUCCAGCCUCCAGAACUAUGCAAUCCAGAGAUAAAAGAGGAAUUCGCUUAAGGCAGAGUUGGGAAAAACCCAGAACUUCAGACUCAGUCUGGUGGUAUUCGCUCAACACUAUGCUUCUGCCCACAGAUGAAGAAAUGAAGGUUCAGGAAAACAAACUGCUGUGCCCCUUGUAGGACAAUGUCUUUAGUGUAUGUGUGUUGUGUGUGUGUGUGUGUGUGUGUAUAAAGGGGAGGGUGGAAGAAAGUGGCUACAACAAAACUCUUCCGACUACUUGUCUUCUUUUUUUAAACCACUGUUAAACCUUAUUGGGACAGGAUAUUUAUUCUCAAAAUUCGGAAAGUUAGUUUUGCCAAUACGUAACUGAACCAAAUCCACUGUCAAUAUGUACAUACAUUAAAAUAAAACACAUUUGUGUGUGUCUGUGAUAACCGCUUAAAGUAUCUGGAAACUUUGCAGAACAGUUAUUUAAAUGAAGAGAGAGCUUAGUAGUCAUUUAAUUAUAAUUUUUGUUAAAUAGUGACUCAUAAGUUUCAAGCAUAGUCACAAUUUCUUAAAAAUUUAAUGAGGGAAUAUAUUAGUUUGUAGUUCCCCCAAUCUGGCCUCCCAACACUUUUCUUGAAACGUCAUCUCUAACCUGUGUUUCGUCUUCAGCUUCCAUGUGGUUACUCAUUUAUUACUAAGUUGCAAAGUUCCUGUUUGACUUUUCACCUCAGGAGACCAAUUGUGGGGCAAUGGAGUUCCACGAGAAAUCCCUAUAGAAUCUAACCGUGUGUCCAGGUGUGAGACAGUGCCUUACUUUUCAAGAUAUUAAUCAUAUCUUUUCCUAGAGCCUGAUACAUAGUAGUUGAGAAGUAAAUGUUCCUCCUCUAUUUGAAGUCCUUAAUAAUUCUCUUUUACGUUCAGAGUAAGACUAAUACACAACCUCUCCAUUUAAGAACUGCUUGCCUUUCUAAUUAUUGCCCCCGAAUGCUUAGGCCCUGAGCCGUAUUGAACUGCUUGGAGAUUCUCAAACAAGUGACAUUCUUUCUUACCUCUUUGCCUUUGCAAAUGCUACAACCAAACACUGGAGUGAAAUUUUUCCUCUCCACUCUCCUGACUCUACUUUGAAACUUCUUUGUGGAAUAUUCUAGGAUCUCUCCAGGUUGGGUUAGACUUCCUCCAAUCCUCCUGGUACUCUCCAAACACGCACACACACACAGACCUGUGCUCCCAUAUCGUCUUGUUUAAACUCUAAUCAUACAUGUCACUGAAUUCUGUUCAUUUUAAAAUACUUUCUGGCUCCUCUGACAAGGAGAAUAGGGAUCCAUUCUGGCCAAGCUGGCCCACACAUAACGGUGCUUACUGUAUUUACGUUACGUGAAUGAAUAGCUUGCACUCUACAACUCCUCAGGAGUGAGAAAGGGAGUUAACUGAGGUAUACACCAUUCCAGGGAACCCUUAUGUGAAGUUUGGAAGGGUAGAUGAGGUCCUCUGAAAGGCCACGCAAUUCCUAGACCAUGGCUUAAUCAUUUGUUUAUUAGGAGGGCUUUCCAAGGGAACAUGAGUUGCCUCUUCUGACUACUCUCUGACAAUGGGAAAAAAUAUCAGCAGUCAUCCAGCCUGGGCCCUUUCUCAGCAAAUCCCAUCUGUUGGAGACUCCUACAACUACAAACCUUCUUUUAAUGUGGGUCAGGGCAACGAACUGGGCUGAGGGAAUAGAAUAAUGAAUCCAUAGUUUCUGAUUUCCCGCAAUGAGCAAACCAAGUCCGAAAGCCUUAACUGACAACUUGGCAGAGACCUUAGAUGUGGUCUUUUCUUCCAAGGUGUUAAGCCAGGUGUUACUUUAACUGCAGACUUGAGAGUCCACAUCUGAGAAAACUUUGAUACAAUUAAAAUGAUGAAACUUAGAAGCUUUCCUCAUGUCGUACCAGUGCAAAAUCAAUAGACAAACAGGCACAGAUCAGAUAAAAGUGAUUUCUCAGAGGACAUGGCUUCCUGUCUUUUUGACUUACUAGCAUGUAAGUAAUUGUUAUUUUAAAGGAAAAAGAGAAGUUUAGUUUCUCGCAGAGAAGCUGUCUAACCUAGCGGGUAGGAAUGAAGGUUUUGGAGCAAGCCUUUCUGGAGUUGAUUCCUGGCUUCAUCAGCUGGGUGUUAUUGGGCAAUUUGCUUCAUCUCUCUGUGCUUCAGUUUCAUUGCUAUAGAUACAUAGGCACAUGCAUACAUAUACAUGCUCUUAUGUCACAGUACUAGUUAAAUGAUUUAAUACACAAGAAACACCUGGAACAUUGUCUGAUGAAUAGGAAACACUCAAUGAAAGUUAGUUAUUAUUAUGAUCCUAAUGAAACAAAUAUUAUUAAUGAGCUAUGUCACCUUUGCUGUUUGUAUUUCUCCCAUUACAAUGAAAGGUCUUGAGAUACAUUUGGCCACCCCUGUGCUGGAGAAGGAUUUCUGAACUCAACUGAUCCUACCUGUUCUAAUGAUGUUUACUUUCACCUCAUAUUAAAUAAUAAGAGCAUUAUGAAGUUAAAAAUCAUCCUUGUGCAAUCACAUUGAUUGCAACUUUUGUUUUCCAUGAAGGGGAAAGACAGCAUGUUUGUGUAACAGUCUAUUGGGAGUUAUUACUCUCCACACUGUUGAGGACCAUAUCCCAAUUGCUUUUUAAUUUGCUUCCCGUGUUAUGAUCUUGCAAUCAGUUUUCUUAGCAAGACAACUAAGGUAAUAUGUGCUAAUGUGACAAGCGGAAAAGAUACGCAUUGUACUCUAUUGAAAAUAGAGGCAGAGUAUAUAGCUAUUGAGUAUGUUUAAUAAAUUCAAGCAUUGAACUAUGUUCAACGUCCAAGAUGUGUUUAAAGUCUUUGAAUAGAAAAUAAGUUAAGCAUUUUCAUUGGACGCAUGAAGUAUGAUAGUUAUUCUGGAGAAAUAAGUUGCUUUCUUCCCAAACCAUUUAUCAAUGUCCUUUGGGGAUUCCAGACAGAGAAAAUGUGUCACUGACAGGCCCUAUCAGAGGUAGGAGGCUCAUUCCUAGCACCUGCAAAGAAGACUUUAGAUCUUUAAGCAAGCUCAGGUUGCAAGGAUGGAGAAAUGGGGUCACGGAGCAGAAGCCCUCUUUACAAGCUUCACUUUGAUAAUCUCAAAACACCAUCACCAGCUGAGCCUCCCACUGUCAAAACUCUGCCUCUUUUGCUCUUAAUUUAUUUUGGUGUCAUAGAUGACUUUGCAAAUUUGAUGGAAAUUAUAAAUGCUCCUCCCAGAAAAAUGCACACACACACACACACACAUACUGCAAAAUUAUGCACAUUCACUUGUGGUUUCCGUGGAUGCUCUGAUGUAAAAAUUCCUUCUUAAUGGAGUGAUUUUAUAUUAUCUUCAGUAAAUGAAUAUUUGAAAACA